AAAGAUGUCAAAACAUUAUUUCGUCAUUGUGCGCAUAAUUAAUAACUGUCAUUAAUUAAAUUUAUUGAUCAGAUAAACAUUCGGAAUUUUGAUUUUUCGGAAUUUUGUAUUAAUCAUGGAGGUAUGUCGAUGCGAAGAAUAUAAAGAGCCGGUGAGGAAGAUAAAGAUAUUCACGUUGUGCACGUUAUUGCCGCAGAUCGAACGCGUCAAAGUGCCUGAAAAUGUUAUAAUCGACAUUCGAAACGUGCCAAUCUCAAAUGUGCGCGACCCACGCCGAAAUAAACCUUACAUUUUCCCGGCAACAAUAGAAUCUAAUCGCGUUGUGCCAAAUAAUUGGAUUCCCGUUAUCCACGGAACAAUAUCUACUAAAUUAACCUACGCGAAUAAAGCCUUGUACUGCCGAAUUU